AGUGAACGCUGGCGGUAGGCCUAACACAUGCAAGUCGAACGGCAGCACAGUAAGAGCUUGCUCUUACGGGUGGCGAGUGGCGGACGGGUGAGGAAUACAUCGGAAUCUACUUUUUCGUGGGGGAUAACGUAGGGAAACUUACGCUAAUACCGCAUACGACCUACGGGUGAAAGCAGGGGAUCUUCGGACCUUGCGCGAUUGAAUGAGCCGAUGUCGGAUUAGCUAGUUGGCGGGGUAAAGGCCCACCAAGGCGACGAUCCGUAGCUGGUCUGAGAGGAUGAUCGGCCACACUGGAACUGAGACACGGUCCAGACUCCUACGGGAGGCAGCAGUGGGGAAUAUUGGACAAUGGGCGAAAGCCUGAUCCAGCAAUACCGCGUGGGUGAAGAAGGCCUUCGGGUUGUAAAGCCCUUUUGUUGGGAAAGAAAAGCAGCAGGUUAAUACCCCGCUGUUCUGACGGUACCCAAAGAAUAAGCACCGGCUAACUUCGUG
rnacentral:rRNA from 1 species